rnacentral:rRNA from 1 species
AUUGAACGCUGGCGGCAUGCCUUACACAUGCGAGUCGAACGGUAACAGGUCUUCGGAUGCUGACGAGUGGCGAACGGGUGAGUAAUACAUCGGAACGUGCCCGAUCGUGGGGGAUAACGGAGCGAAAGCUUUGCUAAUACCGCAUACGAUCUACGGAUGAAAGCAGGGGACCGCAAGGCCUUGCGCGGACGGAGCGGCCGAUGGCAGAUUAGGUAGUUGGUGGGAUAAAAGCUUACCAAGCCGACGAUCUGUAGCUGGUCUGAGAGGACGACCAGCCACACUGGGACUGAGACACGGCCCAGACUCCUACGGGAGGCAGCAGUGGGGAAUUUUGGACAAUGGGCGAAAGCCUGAUCCAGCCAUGCCGCGUGCAGGAUGAAGGCCUUCGGGUUGUAAACUGCUUUUGUACGGAACAAAAAGACUCUUUCUAAUAAAGAGGGUCCAUGACGGUACCGUAAGAAUAAGCACCGGCUAACUACGUG